rnacentral:rRNA from 1 species
CCUACGGGUGGCAGCAGUAGGGAAUAUUGCUCAAUGGGGGAAACCCUGAUGCAGCAACGCCGCGUGGAGGAUGAAGGUUUUCGGAUUGUAAACUCCUUUUGUUAGAGAAGAUAAUGACGGUAUCUAACGAAUAAGCACCGGCUAACUACGUGCCAGCAGCCGCGGUAAUACGGAGGGUGCAAGCGUUACUCGGAAUCACUGGGUGUAAAGAGCGCGUAGGCGGGAUAGCAAGUCAGAUGUGAAAUCCUAUGGCUUAACCAUAGAACUGCAUUUGAAACUGUUAUUCUAGAGUAUGGGAGAGGUAGGUGGAAUUCGUGGUGUAGGGGUAAAAUGCGUAGAGAUCAAGAGGAAUACUCAUGGCGAAGGCGACCUGCUAGAACGUAACUGACGCUGAGGCGCGAAGGCGUGGGGAGCAAACAGGAUUAGAUACCCGGGUAGUC